GCAGCUUUUAUCUCGCCAGGUAAUGCUUGACUAACAGCUGGAGACCAUAGAGAAUGUAUGGCACGGAGUAGUUUAAGAAGAGGAGGAAGCAUCCACGAGACAUGAGAUGCCAUUGGGUGCAAAUUGUCAGAUGUCGGUAUGGUUUGUACACUAUUAUUGCCUUUCCUUAGACCACUCCGUUUAAGAGCCUUCUCAAAGAAUGUAACUGUGUGGAAAAUGGACCACAUAAAUGGUGUAUC
rnacentral:misc_RNA from 1 species